CCGCACAGCCGCACUCGCGCCGUCCCCUUCCUCUUCCUCCCGCCUCACCUCUCUCUCCUUCCAAACCCUAGGCCCGAGCCCGCCGCCGCUGCUCUGCCCGAGCCCGCCGCCGCUGCUUCCUCCUUCCCCGCUGGCGCCCGGCCUCCUCCCCUCACGUCCUCCUCCUUCUACCCCCUCCCGCCCCGGCCCCGGCUCCCGCGGGAGGGAAGCAGGAAUGGCGAGGCGAGGCAAAGGCGGCGUAGGGGACACGGCGUGGCGCAGGUGGGUCGGCACGGCCGCGGCUUCUCUUCUUAUCUCCCGGGAGUGGGCCACAGCCAUGGAGAGCGGCCAGAGGAGCAAGGACGGCCAACCCCUGCCUCCUCUCCAGCACGUGUUGGGGAUUGCGGGCAACGAUUGAAUCUGCAGAUUGGUUCGCUCAAGGAUGACGAGGAGAUGGCCGACUCCAGGGAGCAGCAGAAGGAGGAGGGGCACGCACGCACGAUGGUGUUCAUGGUGUUCCGCCCAACAAAUCACCAAAAUAAAUUAUAUACAUAUGCAGCACAUUUUUAGUAGCGACAGAUUAUUCCUAGGAUCAUGUAAAAAAAAUUAUUGCUAGGGUCAGCGGUGGGUUCGGCAGCCGCGGUCGGUGCUGCCGUCCUGUCCAGUGAGCUCCUUUGACCAGCGCCAUGAGAGCAACUGCGCCGGUGCCUCUCGUGGACAGCGCGUGCAUCAGCAACCUUCUAAAGUCCUUCACAAAUCGCAUCGCAUCGCCGGCCCGAGUGACGGCCAUCCGGCUGUUCCCCUUUGCGGUGUGCUACGCCGUGUCCGCUGAAGCUGCAAUAUCUUCGGACGCCCGUGUUGUUGAGAGGAGGUUCCUCAUCCAGUAGCAGCAUCGGCGACUCUUAUCCAUAUACCAAACAGAGUAGUAUCUAUGCACAUUUUCCCCUUUACCCUACGUUUCUACGAACAGGUGCAUAUCCCCCCAUUGCCUUACCAUCUCCUCUAUUUGAUUCCAGUCGAAAAUUGAUUCAUGGUCGCUCACACAUGAUAGUGCUAGAUGGAAUUCCCUAUGGAUUGCCAAUGCAGAUUACUAUAUGAUCCAUUGUAAUUUUAGUGGUCGUUGGUUUCCAUACAAAAUUGGUUUAUUGCACGCAAGAUUUCAGACUUAAGCACAAGUCAAUGAAUCAUGUACAGCCUCAUGUGGCUGCUUCUACUUCGGGUAAUUUGCCCAAGCAAGGUUAAUCUAUAAAGCUAUGCUUUUCCUCAAAAAAAGAAGAAGAAUUGGAUUGUCAGGAUUACACCAAACAGUUACUCUUGAUUAAUAGAGAUAAUGACUUUACUAAGACAAAUGUACGUGUUCACAUUUAUUAAAAACAAUCUUAAACAACGAUGUUCAUAUUAAGUAGAAAUCUGGUGCUCGUGUCUAUCGUACUACAUCCUAAAUGAUUGGAUGUCCGCUAAUCAACGACUUCAAGUCCUUGAUACACCAGACUUCUGAAUGUGUUUUUUUCAGCGAUUCUUUAUCAACACAACUACUCCUUGUCCUAGGCCUUGAAUCAUUGUGCUCCUGGGUACCUUACUUUUCCAAUUCAUCCUCAUGCUGAAUGUUUACUGGUUUGUUAUCAACACCAGUGCAUUUGCGAGUUAUGACACGAAAUGGCCGUAGAGUUAGCUCAUGCAUUAGUUAGUUACUUCACUAGCUGUGCAUGGUGGGCGUGGCGUGAGCUUAAGAUUAGUUGGUAGUGGAGAUACUCUUGUAAUGGCUAUCUGCUAUUGGCUUUCUUAACCAUCAUCCUACGCCUUCAUGUUUGUUAGGGACCUAUCUACUAUGAUACCAUAUACAUGCUUAUGGAAGGCACUCAACAGCAUAUUCUAGAAAAAAUAAAGGUUUAUUAUCCAGGUAUAUUUAUCUACUAUUGUACUUGACACCUGACAUUCAAAAGGAAAAUUUCAAUAUUAAUAGCUGAUAAAGAAACGCUCCACAGUUAGUCGAUACACAUGUACCAAUCUGGAGUUAGUAUACAUGCUUGAGAUAUGGUCCUAUUGUUAGUUUGGUUUGCUAUUGAGUACAUUUGGUUAUAAGUAGAAUUGCAAUAGUUUCGUUAUAGGAUCUAAGGGACAUUUAGAAGUUUGGCAAAAGACGUCAUCUACUCAUGAAUAAUCUCAUCAUCUGAAAAUGGAUUCAGAGUUAGGCCACUUACACAUCAUGGUAAACCUCCUAGUUCCCAUUUUGUCUGUAUUUUUAAAGGGGUGCUAAAAUCCUGGAUGGUCAUUGGAUAGUGGAUUAGCAUCAGUGCUUAACUAAGUCCCUGGAAAUUUGGAUAAGCAGUUUUUCUUUGAAGUGUAUAUGGUUCUAGACUUUCUUUUUGUGGUAAAGGAAGAAUCUUGGAUGAUCUUUGGACAGUGGAUUAGCGUUAGUGCUUAAAUAAGUCCCUAGAAAUCUGGAUGAACAAUUUUUUUUAAAUGUAUAUGGUUCUACUGGUAAUCAUUAAUCUGUAACCUUGUGCUUGCUUGUGACCAGUAAGGUUGUGACGGGUUGUCAUCCCAUGGUUUUUCUGCAGCGCCGUCACUGCCGUCCUUAACAUACAGAAGAAGUUCGUCCCAAGCUUCAAGACUCUAGGGUCAAUUCCAUAGAAGGUAAUUUCCUUUGAUAUUGGUAUUGUUGACAUUUGGUUUUUCCGGCUUCUGGUUGCUGUUAUACUUUGUUUAUUCAUGCUUUUGUUUGUAUUUAAAUUUGCCUAAAGAUAUGUUCAAGUUCAUACCUGCAGUUCAAUAGCCAUUGCCUGAAAUCUGCUUUCUACCUGUGCUUUUUAAGUAUAUAUGCCUAUAAAGUGUCCUCUAUUGCUUUCUUAAAUUCUGGAGUCUGCUAUGUAAUGAUGGCAUCGACAGAUUUUGUUGCAGGCAGUACUGAAAAGUAAAUAUAUUGAACAGAUCAAAUUGCAAGAUUAGUUAGCUUUCCUCCUGAUUACAUUUUCUCUUACAUUUUCAAUGCUUUGUCUACCAUGCUUUCUCAUGUCCCUGGUGCCUUUUUUGUUUGAUAUGAAGUAAAUUUGCACACUGGAUGGGGCGACCAGGUUGUGGCAACUUGGCGGCAUGGCUAAUGAAUAAAGAAAAUAGCAAUAACUGAUUGAUUUUAGAUCUCAUGUGCCUGCAAAUCUUCUGUUCUUUCCGUUUAUGUGCUGGAUCUGUUGUUGCAUUCGUCGAUCUGUUGUUGGUUCUUAAUUUAGUCUGGUAAAGAGUAAUUUGCACUUUGUUGGUCCAUUUGGGUUAUGGAUUUUUUUUAUUAUGAUGGCGAGACACACCUAUGGUGAGAUUCUAUUUCGAUGAUGAUGUGCACUCUUCACACCUCGCUCUGAAUUGGCACGAGAAGAUCGUUCUAGAUUGGAAUCCAUAUAACUUUAAGAAGGUCAAUGUCUGUUGUCUUUCUCUCUCUGACUGCCUCUCCUCCCAUUGACUUGGCAUGCUGGUCACCGCCGUGUCUCCUGCUGGCUUGCCCCUCGCCCUCGUCGGGAGGGUUGUGUGGGCCGUCCUACAUUUUAAUCCACAUAACUUUGAAAAGGUCGCCACCAUGCCGUCUCUCUCUCUCUCUCUGACCGCCCCUCCCGUUGCCUUGGUUUGCUGGUUGCUGUAGUGUCUCCCGCCGGUUCGUCCGUUGCCAUCGCUGGAAGGGUUGUGUAGUCCGCCGCUCAUGCCAGUACUCUGCAGUGACCAGUGAGGACCAUGGCAUCGAGACAGCCCAAAAGGAAACACCGCCGGCUAUAGCACCGGUUGAGGCCACCCUGUCUAUCAGCCCACAACAGGUUUGCAUGCUUUGCCCUUGUCUCCUACUUCUCUCGCCUUGCUGGUCCUUGUACUAUGCCAUGUCGCCGAACCAGUCGCCAUGGGAUGCUUAACGUCGUGUUGGAUGAUGCCACACAUGAUUUAGGGUGACGACCCUGCCGCAUAGGCCCAAUAAGCAGACAUUAAUUAUUGUAGUCGUGCAUCAUCCUUUUUCCUCGGUUCACACCACAAUAAAAAUAAGAAACAGUCUGUAUUGAUAUACUUUUUCCUUAGACAGGGCAACUUUAUUCUAAGAGGCUCCAAAAUCUGAAGAAAGAUGUGGCUAUGCAGAAUGCCAAGUGUCGGUGUCAAAAUCGGCGGAUCUCGGGUAGGGGGUCCCGAACUGUGCGUCUAGGCGGAUGGUAACAAGAGACGAGGGACACGAUGUUUUUAUCCAGGUUCGG